UGAGGAAUAUUGGUCAAUGGGCGCGAGCCUGAACCAGCCAAGUCGCGUGAGGGAAGACGGCCCUACGGGUUGUAAACCUCUUUUGCCGGGGAGCAACGCUGCGGACGCGUCCGCAGGUGAGAGUACCCGGAGAAAAAGCAUCGGCUAACUCCGUGCCAGCAGCCGCGGUAAUACGGAGGAUGCGAGCGUUAUCCGGAUUUAUUGGGUUUAAAGGGUGCGUAGGCCGGCUGUCAAGUCAGCGGUAAAAAUUCGGGGCUCAACCCCGUAAAGCCGUUGAAACUGGCGGUCUUGAGUAGCGGCGAGGCAUGCGGAAUGCGAGGUGUAGCGGUGAAAUGCUUAGAUAUGUCACAGAACCCCGAUUGCGAAGGCAGCUUACCAGCAUGCAACUGACACU
rnacentral:rRNA from 1 species